rnacentral:lncRNA from 10 species
CAAAGGCUUGUUUAAAAAAAAAUCUGUUUUGCCUAUCUAAACCUCUCUAAAAGGAAGGAAAUAAAAUUUUGUAACUUUCCAAGAAGUGAAAACCAAUUAACAUUUUAAAGUCACAUUACACUCAUAACCUCUAAUACAUUAUUUUCAGAAGAGCCAUUUCUGCUGAGUCAGAAUAUAAAAUAGGAUUCAAAUACCUAUUUCCUUAAUAGAUUUAAAUGACUGUGACUAACAAUCUCAAUAUUUCUUGUUUUAUGGAAAAAUUUUAGUUUCUCAAGGAUCCCAUGGGGAUUGGACAUGAUGGUGUUUAAGGGCCUCUAACGAUCCCUGCCUUGGAUAUGUGUAGUCCCCUCCCACACUGCAUCAGGAUUGGUCUGUGAAUACGGCAGAAAUGAUGGGGAAGCCAGAUGCUGUGUUGUGAGGACAGUCAGGCAGCCCCAUGGAGAGGCCCAUGUGGCAAGGCAUUGAGGACUUCUGCCAAUAGCCAUAUGAAUGACCAUCUUGGAAGUAGGUGCUCCAGCCCUGGAUAAACCUUCAGAUGACUGCAGCCCCUGCUCAGAGCUUGACUGCAACCCCAUCAGAGACCCUGAGCCUGAGACACUCAGCUAAGUCACUCGGAGGUUUGCUUCAUCAGAAUCCAUAGGUUCUCAAGUGGCGCUCCUCCUUGUGCUCGCAGAACCCCGCUUAUUGACUCUACAGAUACUUUUUGCAGAAAAUGGCUGCCUCUUUGCUGUCUACUGUGACUCUUCAACUAGGAAAGAACCAAAUAGAUUUAACCUACUCAACUCGACACUUCUGAACAAAAAAGAAUGCAGAAUAUAUAGCACCAACCAGUGGUCCCAAAGAUAACCAAUUGUUUAGAGCCUAGAGGAAAGGGAAGAACCCACAUCUACCAUGAAUGAAUAAAUGGCGACCUGGAAGCAUACUUCUGGUAGCAAUGGGGACACGGGUCAAAGGGGACUUGAGGUUAUCAGCUUUCAGAAUGAAGACACAUAAUCCCUAUUAGAGUGGAAGACUUAAAAUCGAGUUUGAGACCCACCUUCUGAAACUGCAGGCUCUUGGGAGCCUGAUUUCCGGUGAAGAGUGUUGCUGCUUUGCAUUUUUCACACUUGAACACAGUGAAGAAGAUGAACAUUAAUUAGGAUUAUAGUGCCAUGGAGGCUUACUGUGCUGUGAGAACUCACAAGAAAUAAAAUGCCAUUUCUUUUUUUGGAUGCAAUUCUGAGUGUCAUGUAUGUAUUAGUUCUUGGGCCCAAGCCAAGUUACUUUAGGGGUGAUAUACAAUCUGUUAUUUUUAGAUCAUAUUGGGUAAGGG